AUACUGAGACACGGAUCCGACUCCUACGGGAGGCAGCAGUAAGGAAUAUUGGACAAUGCCCGCAAGGGUGAUCCAGCCAUGCCGCGUGCAGGAAGACGGCCCUAUGGGUUGUAAACUGCUUUUACACCGGAGAAAACCCCACUACGUGUAGUGGGCUGAUAGUAUGGUGAGAAUAAGCAUCGGCUAACUUCGUGCCAGCAGCCGCGGUAAAACGAAGGAUGCAAGCGUUAUCCGGAUUCGUUGGGUUUAAAGGGAGCGUAGGUGGCCUUAUAAGUCAGUGGUGAAAUCUCUGGGCUUAACCCAGAAAUUGCCAUUGAUACUGUAGGGCUUGAGUAUAGUUGCCGUUGGCGGAAUAUGACAUGUAGUGGUGAAAUACAUAGAGAUGUCAUAGAACACCGAUUGUGAAGGCAGCUGACGAAACUAUAACUGACACUGAGGCUCGAAAGUGUGGGGAUCAAACAGGAUUAAAUACCCUGGUAGUCCACACUGUAAACGAUGAUUACUUGCUGCUAGAGGGCAACUUUUAGUGGCUUAGCGAAAGCGAUAAGUAAUCCACCUGGGGAGUACGCCGGCAACGGUGAAACUCAAAGGAAUUGACGGGGGCCCGCACAAGCGGAGGAGCAUGUGGUUUAAUUCGAUGAUACGCGAGGAACCUUACCAGGGCUUGAAAGUUAGGGAAUAACUCUGAAAGGAGUUAGUCAGCAAUGACCCGAAACUAGGUGCUGCAUGGCUGUCGUCAGCUCGUGCCGUGAGGUGUUGGGUUAAGUCCCGCAACGAGCGCAACCCCUACCAUUAGUUGCCAGCGGUUCGGCCGGGGACUCUAGUGGAACUGCCCGCGCAAGCGGUGAGGAAGGUGGGGAUGACGUCAAGUCAUCACGGCCCUUACGUCCUGGGCUACACACGUGCUACAAUGGCUAUUACAGAGGGCAGCUACAUGGCAACAUGAUGCAAAUCUUCAAAAAUAGUCUCAGUUCGGAUUGGGGUCUGCAACUCGACCCCAUGAAGCUGGAUUCGCUAGUAAUCGCGCAUCAGCAAUGGCGCGGUGAAUACGUUCCCGGGCCUUGUACACACCGCCCGUCAAGCCAUGAAAGCUGGGAGUAUUUAAAGUCGGUAGCCGCAAGGCGCCGCCUAGAGUAAAACCGGUGAUUGGGGCUAAGUCGUAACAAGGUAGCCGUACCGGAAGGUGCGGCUG
rnacentral:rRNA from 1 species